CUUAGUGAGGCUUGUACUUAGACAUGCAUGGCUUAAUCUUUGAGACAAGCAUAUGACUACUGGCAGGAUCAACCAGGUGAAACCGCGAAUGGCUCAUUAAAUCACACCUAAUGUACUGGACAGUCUCAGUUACUUGGAUAACUGCGGUAAUUCUGGAGCUAAUACAUGCGUACUAGCCGCGACUCACGGAGCGGUGCUUUUAUUAGAUCAAAACCAAACGGCCUCGAGCCGUCCCCCUGGUGAUUCUGAAUAACUUUGGGCUGAUCGCACGGACUCGUUCCGGCGACGUGUCCUUCCAAGGUGUGCCCUAUCAACUGUCGACUGUGGCAUAGACGCCCACAGUGGUUUUGACGGGUAACGGGGAAUUAGGGUUCGAUUCCGGAGAGGGAGCCUGAGAAACGGCUACCACUUCUACGGAAGGCAGCAGGCACGCAAAUUACCCACUGGCCGAAGGCCGAGGUAGUGACGAAAAAUAACGAUACCGGACUCAUCCGAGGCCCGGUAAUCGGAAUGAGUACACUUUAAAUCCUUUAACGAGGAACAAUUGGAGGGCAAGUCUGGUGCCAGCAGCCGCGGUAAUUCCAGCUCCAAUAGCGUAUAUUAAAGUUGUUGCGGUUAAAAAGCUCGUAGUUGGAUCUCGGCGGGCAGGGGGUGGUUCGCUCUUCAGCGCUACUGCCCCGCUUUGCCCGUGUGAUUGGCGGAGGUUUCGGGGUGCUCUUCGUUGAGUGACUCGGAGCGCCGUCAGGUUUACUUUGAAAAAAUUAGAGUGCUCAAAGCAGGCUUUUCACGCUUGAAUAUUCGUGCAUGGAAUAAUGGAAUAGGAACUCGUUUCUAUUUUGUUGGUUUUCGGAAAUCGAGUUAAUGAUUAACAGGGACAAUUGGGGGCAUUAGUAUUCAGACGACAGAGGUGAAAUUCUUGGACCGUCUGAAGACUGACUACUGCGAAAGCAUUUGCCAAGAGUGUUUUCAUUAAUCAAGAACGAAAGUUAGAGGUUCGAAGGCGAUCAGAUACCGCCCUAGUUCUAACCAUAAACGAUGCCAGCUAGCGAUCUGCCGAGUUUUUUUUGUAGGCUCCGCAGGAAGCUUUCGGGAAACCAAAGCUUUUGGGUUCCGGGGGAAGUAUGGUUGCAAAGCUGAAACUUAAAGGAAUUGACGGAAGGGCACCACCAGGAGUGGAGCCUGCGGC
rnacentral:rRNA from 1 species